UGUAGGUUACAAUACACCAUUAGAUUUUAUGGGCGCAGCCAUUUUAUGAGCAUAACAUGGUAUUCAGAAUUAAGAGUAUGGCUAAUCCUGAUUGGUCGAUAUGUGCGCCCGUUAUUUUUUUAUUAUUAGAGACUUCGUGCACUCUGCUUUAUACAAAAGGCAAAAUAAAAAUUAUUCCGUAGCCCUAAAGGCACUGAGAUGACUUUUCAACGCUAGGACAAGACACGUAUUUUUAAGGGCAAAAUUGAUAGGCAUGGGAGAUAAGUACAAAAUACGCUAAGAAAAGCAACGCGAACCUAUAUUUUUUGGACCAAAAAAUACUGUCCUAAUAACUUUUCUUUGAUUCUAGCAAGG
rnacentral:lncRNA from 1 species